rnacentral:rRNA from 1 species
GAUGAACGCUGGCGGCGUGCCUAAUACAUGCAAGUCGAGCGAACGGACGAGAAGCUUGCUUCUCUGAUGUUAGCGGCGGACGGGUGAGUAACACGUGGAUAACCUACCUAUAAGACUGGGAUAACUUCGGGAAACCGGAGCUAAUACCGGAUAAUAUUUUGAACCGCAUGGUUCAAAAGUGAAAGAAGGUCUUUCUGUCACUUAUAGAUGGAUCCGCGCUGCAUUAGCUAGUUGGUAAGGUAACGGCUUACCAAGGCAACGAUGCAUAGCCGACCUGAGAGGGUGAUCGGCCACACUGGAACUGAGACGCGGUCCAGACUCCUACGGGAGGCAGCAGUAGGGAAUCUUCCGCAAUGGGCGGAAGCCUGACGGAGCAACGCCGCGUGGGUGAUGAAGGUCUUCGGAUCGUAGAACUCUGUUAUUAGGGAAGAACAUAUGUGGAAGUAACUGUGCACAGCUUGACGGUACCUAAUCAGAAAGCCACGGCUAACUACGUG